UACGUAGGGUGCAAGCGUUAAUCGGAAUUACUGGGCGUAAAGCGUGCGCAGGCGGUUUUAUAAGACAAAUGUGAAAACCCCGGGCUCAACCUGGGAACUGCAUUUGUGACUGUAGAGCUGGAGUGCGGCAGAGGGGGAUGGAAUUCCGCGUGUAGCAGUGAAAUGCGUAGAUAUGCGGAGGAACACCGAUGGCGAAGGCAAUCCCCUGGGCCUGCACUGACGCUCAUGCACGAAAGCGUGGGGAGCAAACAGG
rnacentral:rRNA from 1 species